AGUGAACGCUGGCGGUAGGCCUAACACAUGCAAGUCGAACGGCAGCACAGUAAGAGCUUGCUCUUACGGGUGGCGAGUGGCGGACGGGUGAGGAAUACAUCGGAAUCUACUCUUUCGUGGGGGAUAACGUAGGGAAACUUACGCUCAUACCGCAUACGACCUACGGGUGAAAGCAGGGGAUCUUCUGACCUUGCGCGAUUGAAUGAGCCGAUGUCGGAUUAGCUAGUUGGCGGGGUAAAGGCCCACCAAUGCGACGAUCCGUAGCUGGUCUGAGAGGAUGAUCAGCGACACUGGAACUGGGACACGGUCCAGACUCCUACGGGAGGCAGCAGUGGGGAAUAUUGGGCAAUGGGCGCAAGCCUGAUCCAGCCAUACCGCGUGGGUGAAGGAGGCCUUCGGGUUGUAAAGCCCUUUUGUUGGGAAAGAAAAGCAGCAGGUUAAUACCACGCUGUUCUGACGGUACCCAAAGAAUAAGCACCGGCUAACUUCGUG
rnacentral:rRNA from 1 species